UUUUCCCUCAGUACAGAGAAAAAUACUUGCAAGAAGUGUGGCCAAUGGUGAAAUCUGCUUUGAAGGAAUAUGGCGUUGCAUGUGAGUUGAACCUGGUUGAGGGGUCAAUGACUGUUUCAACUACUAGAAAAACUAGGGAUCCCUAUAUCAUUAUCAAAGCGAGGGAUCUCAUUAAGCUUUUAUCAAGAAGUGUUCCAGCACCUCAGGCAAUCAAAAUUCUGAAUGAUGAAAUGCAGUGCGACAUCAUCAAGAUUGGAAACUUGGUCCGCAAUAAGGAGCGAUUUGUUAAACGACGACAGCAUCUUGUGGGUCCAAAUUCUUCCACUUUGAAGGCCCUUGAGAUUUUGACAGGCUGCUACAUCUUAGUUCAGGGAAACACUGUCGCUGCUAUGGGCUCAUUUAAAGGUUUGAAACAAGUAAGAAGGAUUGUGGAAGACUGCAUUCAAAAUAAAAUGCAUCCUGUAUACCAUAUAAAGAUUCUUAUGAUGAAGAAAGAACUUGAAAUGGAUCCUGCACUUAAAAAUGAGAACUGGGACAGGUUCCUUCCCAAGUUUAAGAAGAAAAAUGUCAAACAAAAGAAGGUUAAGAGCAAAGAAAAGAAACCAUAUACACCAUUCCCUCCUCCUCAACCACCUAGUAAGGUUGAUAUGCAGCUGGAGUCAGGAGAAUACUUUUGGAGCAACCAGAAGAAACAAGCGAAGAAGUGGCAAGAGAAACAGGAGAAGCAAGCAGAAAAAACAGCUGAAAACAAAAGAAAACGGGAAGCUGCUUUCAUUCCUCCCGAGGAGCCCAAAGAGCAGAAUGCUGGUACAUCAGAGGAUAAAAAUAAUGAUGUGGCUGCUAUUGCCAUCUCAAUAAAGGCAAAGGCAAAGGAAUUCGGGAAGAAAAAGGCUAUUGAGAAUGUCAAUGCAGAAGAAUAUAUUGCUGCAUCAGGAGAGCUACCUAAGAAAAAGAAAUCAAAGCAUGUUUAGUCUAGAUAUUCAUGCUUAUCAUAGAACGCUUUUAUUAGUUUGGCUUUGCUAAGUUGCAUGCCAUUGUAUACCUUGUUUAUUAUUUUUGUUAAGUUGCAUGCCUUUGUAUUCCUUGUUUAUUAUUUUUGUUGAGUUGCAUGCCAUGGCUCUGAUAUGAUGUUAGGACUAUGUCCUGUUUAGGGAACGAUCCUGUAUGAUCCUUAAAGCUUGCAACUCAACAAAAAUAAU
rnacentral:misc_RNA from 1 species